CACAGAUCGCUUGCUCAAGAAUUUCAGCGCUAUAGCAAUAAGUUCAAUUUCCAUUACUUUUUCACUUUUAUGCUAAAAGUGCGAUUGCGCAAGGCAGAAAAGUGGAACCGCGCCAAUCGCAGACUCUGAUCGAUUCAUACCGACUGACGUUACAAGAUUUUUUUUAUUACCCACUUAUGAUUCGAGCUAUCGAGCUGUCUGUUUUUAUGUAAUUUUUAGCGUAAUGUAUUGUAAAUGCCAACCGGAAAUGAAACUUUAGGCUUCCCCGAUAUUCCAUCACUCUGUUCUUUACCACCAGCUUUAUUGGAACGAAGCACAGCUCCAGGACUCGGAUAAGGUCUCAUCUGAUACAGAGGUCCAGAAGCAGUAGUAUCAACACCAGUCUUUGCUUCGUUUUGUCUGGCCAAUCCAUCUGACCAUUUGCCACGAGGUCUGUCGCGAUGUCGUCUAUCAGUACCACUUCGUGAACGAUCUCGGUCUCGAUCGCGUUCGCGAUCUUUUUCUUCUCGACUGUCCUUUCGUUCGCGUUUGGCGUCUGGCUCAUUUAUCUGUAA